rnacentral:rRNA from 1 species
GUGGGGAAUAUUGGACAAUGGGCGCAAGCCUGAUCCAGCCAUGCCGCGUGAGUGAUGAAGGCCCUAGGGUUGUAAAGCUCUUUCACCGGUGAAGAUAAUGACGGUAACCGGAGAAGAAGCCCCGGCUAACUUCGUGCCAGCAGCCGCGGUAAUACGAAGGGGGCUAGCGUUGUUCGGAAUUACUGGGCGUAAAGCGCACGUAGGCGGAUCGUUAAGUCGGGGGUGAAAUCCUGGAGCUCAACUCCAGAACUGCCUUCGAUACUGGCGAUCUUGAGUCCGGAAGAGGUGAGUGGAACUCCUAGUGUAGAGGUGGAAUUCGUAGAUAUUAGGAAGAACACCAGUGGCGAAGGCGGCUCACUGGUCCGGUACUGACGCUGAGGUGCGAAAGCGUGGGGAGCAAACAGGAUUAGAUACCCUAGUAGUCC